rnacentral:rRNA from 1 species
UACGAAGGGGACUAGCGUUGUUCGGAAUCACUGGGCGUAAGCGCACGUAGGCGGAUAUGUCAGUCAGGGGUGAAAUCCCGGGGCUCAACCUCGGAACUGCCUUUGAUACAGCAUGUCUUGAGUCCGAUAGAGGUGGGUGGAAUUCCUAGUGUAGAGGUGAAAUUCGUAGAUAUUAGGAAGAACACCGGUGGCGAAGGCGGCCCACUGGAUUCGGUACUGACGCUGAGGUGCGAAAGCGUG